AUUGAACGCUGGCGGCAUGCCUUACACAUGCAAGUCGAACGGCAGCACGGGGGCGAACCCUGGUGGCGAGUGGCGAACGGGUGAGUAAUACAUCGGAACGUGCCCAGUAGUGAGGGAUAGCCCGGCGAAAGCCGGAUUAAUACCGCAUGCGACCUACGGGUGAAAGCGGGGGAUCGCAAGACCUCGCGCUGUUGGAGCGGCCGAUGUCAGAUUAGGUUGUUGGUGGGGAAAGGCCUACCAAGCCGACGAUCUGUAGCUGGUCUGAGGGGACGACCAGCCACACUGGGACUGAGACACGGCCCAGACUCCUACGGGAGGCAGCAGUGGGGAAUUUUGGACAAUGGGGGCAACCCUGAUCC
rnacentral:rRNA from 1 species